rnacentral:rRNA from 1 species
GCAUCUGUGCAUGCAGCAUAUCAAUAAGCGGAGGAAAAGAAACUAACAAGGAUUCCCCUAGUAACGGCGAGUGAAGCGGGAAGAGCUCAAAUUUGAAAUCUUAAAGGGUUUCCCUUUACGAAUUGUAGUUUAAAGAAGUGUUUUCUGUUGAGGCUUUGGUAAAAGUUCUUUGGAAUAGGACAUCAUAGAGGGUGAGAAUCCCGUAUUUGACCUUUACUUUCAACUUUGUGAUACACUUUCAAAGAGUCGGAUUGUUUGGGAAUGCAGUCCAAAAUGGGUGGUAAAUUUCAUCUGAAGCUAAAUAUUGGCGAGAGACCGAUAGCGAACAAGUACCGUGAGGGAAAGAUGAAAAGAACUUUGAAAAGAGAGUUAAACAGUACGUGAAAUUGUCAAAAGGGAAGCGUUUGACACCAGUGUUGUUUUUCUGAAAAUCAAUUAAAGAACUGUUUAUGCUAAGUUGUUUAGACUUUAUCAGCUAACUGUUUAGUUUUGAGCUUUUCUUUAAUGCACUUUUCAGUUAACAAGUCAACAUCAAUUUCUUUUGCUGUAAAAAAGCUUGAGGAAGGUGGCUUGAGAUUCGUCUUAAGUGUUUAUAGCCUCUUGCCUAUGCAGUCGGAGAGAUUGAGGUCUGCAGCGUAGAUCCUUCGGGGCUAAAUGCAUUUGUGCUAAGUUAUAGCAUUUUAUAGACAACUUGUUGACUAUGAUUUGUCUUGUAGCUUACUCGCUUAUGUUAUUUUACCUACGCUUAGGAUGUUGACAGCAGUAUAGACUGU